GAUGUAUAAUCUAAAGCAAUUAUACAUGUUCUGAAAUAGAUUAACCAUCCUAAAUGUUUACAAUAAACCUCCGGAAUCUUCCACUCUAAACUCUAAUUAACCUCUGGUUAUGUAAUCAAUGAAUGGAAAUAGGAUCAUUUUGGCACUACCCAUCCGUUCCAUCCCUUGAUUUCGAGCUGCGUGGACGUGUUUACAGAUAUAUUUAAAUAAAUUUGAAUUAGACUGCAAUUUCUCAACACUGAAAAAUACAGCAAAUUUAUGUCUAAUUGGAGGAGAUAGUGUGGAGAGCAAUGUUCGCCGUGUUAUGUCUCACACUUUGUCUCAGGAAGUUGCCCUAGAAUACAACUGGGUUGGAAAAGGCUCGAAAAACUUAGACUUAAAACAGUCAUAUUAGAUGCUGUAAGAGGAAGUAGACAGGGGUCUACUCAUAAUGAAAUCGAGAAGACAAUGAAGGAGUGGCUAAGAUAUGCCAAGGAUAGGGGAGGCGGGCGGAGGAAGAGACUGGCUAAAAAGUUGCAACAACAAAGAGAAGAAAAUGAAAAUGAUAUGUGAACAACAUUUAGAAAUAAAUUGUAGUAAUUAGAAUAUUUUAUGUUCUUUUAUUUUACGGUCUCUCUGAAUUCUAGGAGACAUGCUGUUUUUGGUCUUGUCAUCUGAGGGCCAGCGUUAGUAGUAAGAAACAAGUAAUUGGGCCAAUGGAGGGCCAACAAUAAGAGUAGGAAACAAAGUGAUAGGC